rnacentral:rRNA from 1 species
UACGGAGGGUGCAAGCGUUAUCCGGAUUCACUGGGUUUAAAGGGUGCGUAGGAGGGCAGGUAAGUCAGUGGUGAAAUCUCCAAGCUUAACUUGGAAACUGCCGUUGAUACUAUCUGUCUUGAGUAUUGUGGAGGUGAGCGGAAUAUGUCAUGUAGCGGCGAAAUGCUUAGAUAUGACAUAGAACACCAAUUGCGAAGGCAGCUCACUACUCAAUCAUUGACUCUGAGGCACGAAAGCGUGGGGAUCAAACAGG